rnacentral:ncRNA from 1 species
UUUCCCCACUGGAUCCUGGACAAUGAACCAUCAAAAAAAAUAUGGAGGUUGUUCAUAGCGUUCUCUAUAGAAUAAAAAAAUAUAUAGAAGAAUUCCAUAGUGUUAUUCAUAAAAUUUUGGUCGUUAUGAAUAAUAUGAAAGAGUUGUAUGUAGAAUGUUGAUUAACCAACUAUCCAGCUCCAUUUUCUGGGAGUUGAAUGCCUUUAAUAAUAUCUUGACCAACCCCAUGAUAAAUGAGAUAAUMUAGGGCCUUUACUGCCAUUUUAAAAAAGACUUUUGUUGGAUGGACCCUAAGUGUCCCAUAUCCUAUGAUUCACACUUGUUGAUAGGCAGGAAGACUGAGGCUUUGUAGAGUGUCUCAAAAGCGUAAAGGAAAAAUUCCCUGAAGUCCAUGGCCUUGAUCAUGCCUAUAUUUGAGGGUCAUUUGAUCAUAUCAUAAUAUUUCCCAAAAAUCAAUCUCAAUGAAGAGGGUUUUGAAAUCAAGGAAACAUUUGAGGGCAUUCCAUAAUUUUUUUGCCUUUAAGCAAUAUCACAGACAACCUUCCAUCCAAAUUCAACAAAAUUGAAACCCAUUUUUGAGAGUUGUUGGUGCCUCAUCCUAUAACUGAUGAUAACGUUAGGAAAUAUGGAGAUGUCGUCGAGGCCCCCAGGAAGAGUUAUAUUUUCUUUUUAACAACUUUUCCACACUGAACUCGGCUCAACCAGACAUAGGGUCCAAUAGUUGGAAGAGCAUCACACAUCUUGUGGUGUCCUGUGUGCCCUCGAAGACCCAUGAAAAUCUAGAGGAACAACCUCAUAACCACAUCGGGUCUCCAAGGUGAAAAACCUCUGGUCAAUAGAACAAUGUAGGUAAGGGAAGUUGGCAAAAUGGAUCUGUAACCUCGGGAAAAGGAUUGGUUCUGAGGGAUAGACCUAGGGGUUUGCAUCCUCAACUCGUGGGUUGUUGGUAGUCUUCCCAUGGGACUG